AGCUUUAUAUAUUCGCUUUAAGUUUAUCGUUUCACCAAUUAUUCUUUCCUAUUCCAGAUGUUUAAGUUAUUAAAUCCUAAAUGAUGGUAUCAUAUUAAUAGCCGCAAACAGUUUAAAACCAUCCGUUAAUAAACAAAUCAAAAGGGAUGCGUUGUCUAAUGCGGCAACAAUAAAAGAAAAUUAACUGUCAUAGAAGCUUGGCGGUUAUAAAUAUUU